rnacentral:rRNA from 1 species
UAGUUGAAAUGGCUUUCCCUCCAGAGUGGAUCCUGAGUACGGCGGAACACGUGAAAUUCCGUCGGAAUCCGGGAGGACCAUCUCCCAAGGCUAAAUACUCCCUAGUGACCGAUAGUGAACCAGUACCGUGAGGGAAAGGUGAAAAGCACCCCGGAAGGGGAGUGAAACAGUUCCUGAAACCGUGUGCCUACAAGUAGUUAGAGCCCGUUAAUGGGUGAUAGCGUGCCUUUUGUAGAAUGAACCGGCGAGUUACGAUUUGUUGCAAGGUUAAGCGGAAAAAGCGGAGCCGUAGCGAAAGCGAGUCUGAAUAGGGCGCAUAAGUAACAGGUCGUAGACCCGAAACCAGGUGAUCUACCCAUGUCCAGGAUGAAGGUAAGGUAAUACUUACUGGAGGUCCGAACCCACGCACGUUGAAAAGUGCGGGGAUGAGGUGUGGGUAGCGGAGAAAUUCCAAUCGAACUUGGAGAUAGCUGGUUCUCUCCGAAAUAGCUUUAGGGCUAGCCUCGAGGUAAAGAGUCAUGGAGGUAGAGCACUGUUUGGACUAGGGGCCCUUCUCGGGUUACCGAAUUCAGAUAAACUCCGAAUGCCAUGUACUUAUACUCGGGAGUCAGACUGCGAGUGAUAAGAUCCGUAGUCGAAAGGGAAACAGCC